AAAAGGAGGGGACUGUGUAAUCCCUAAGAUCUCCAGUGAUUUCUUUGGCACAGGGAACUCCUUGGUGAGGACACUCACCCUACCAGUACAGUGUGUUUCUGAGGUUCCUUCUUCCUUGAGAUGAGAUGAGGCUGGACUAGAGUAAACCCGGUUGUGUGAGAAGAUUACCAAAUUUGGAGUCUGAAGACCUGGGCUCAAACAUCCUCAUCUUGUGUGAGCUUAGGGGGGAAACAGAGAGAAACUCCACAGAAGAGCAGAAGGACUCAUUUAGGGGAAAGAAUUCCAGAGAAGAAAAUCACUUGGCCACAGUCAUACACCCCAUACAGUUAUUGACCCAGUUGCUGCUUGAACCUGGUUCUUCUGACCUCCAAAUGGAAGUAUUUCACAGUGCACAUGUUUCACGGACAGGUAAUAUGCCUCCAUUAAUCAGAUAUCAUGGGGGACUCUGAUAUCUUCUGGGGGGCCAAGGACACUGGGUCCCCCAAAGGAGACAGGAAAUAAUGAUGGCUGUUCUUUAGCUCCCACCUGAGGUCUAGACAGCAGUCAAAUGGGCAAGGUCUUGGCGACCUGGUGCUUGAAGAUCCCUGCCCAUUUCCUCCAGGGUCGGCACCAGCCCAGAAUCCUUAUCAGCCCUGGCCAGGCAGUCCCCAGGUCUUAUCUGCCC